ensembl:lncRNA
GAUUCAUGGGGUCGCAAAGAGUCGGACUCGACUGAGUGACUGAACCGAACUGCACUGUCAAGUGGGCAGCAGGUAAGGCUCCGGCCCGGCGUGACAGAAACAAUAUAAAAAGGCUCCGCAGCAUCUUUUCAUUGACUAGAGACCUUGUUCUUGGUGUUCCAUUAUCUCCCGGGCUAACAGGCCACACAGAGAAACCCGAGGGAGCAUGGCGUCCUGGCCACGGGGAGAUGCCUGCCCCACCCAGGCCAGGACCUGUCCCUCCGAGGGCCAGGUGAGGGCCAGCUGCAGGAGGCGUCUGCGCUGGGCCAGUCCGCUGCCCGCGCUGAGCCUCGGGGAGAAGCCGGGUCCUGGGUGCCCUGAUGUUCUGGGGAGGCCCCAGGGCAGGUGUGGGGACGCCACGGCGACGCGCGUGACUCAGAACCUGGAGCACAAGUGCUCGGGCGCGUUGUUCUGCUUCCCGGCAUCGCCCAGCCCAGGCCCCCCGGCCACGGACCAGGUGAAGUGGGCGGCAGAGGGCCUUUAACAGGAAGGGCAGUCAGACCUUAGAGGGAAAGGCUCUCCUCCGUCAGGUGAGCAGAGCUCCCCUCCAGGCCAGGCUGGGGCCCCCCUGGCUGCUGGGCCCCCGCCCUCAGGCCCUUCAGGUCAGCAAGCCCCUGGCCUCCGCAGGCGUGGAGAGCUGAAGCUAGGUUCUCAAACUGAUUUGCCCUCAGAGGCCACGGGCAGGACGUCGGGCAGAGCUGGCGUCCUGGGGGCUCUGGGUGGGGUGAGUCGGGGUCCGUUCCGUCUGCAUCGUGUGGGGGCUGCACGGCUGCAGCUCUGAGAAUGGUCACCUUCUCCCUUCCCAUCCCACGACCCUGGUGGACCCUCGGCUCCCCUGCUGAGGGGUGGCGUCUGGACAGCCCCCACGGGCAGCCGGACGGAGUGACGCUGGUCACAAACAGCGACGCGACGGCCCCCGGCUCCAUCCUGGGGACACAGACAUCCCAUCCUGCCCACAGACCGCCCCCGCGAGGGCACCUUCUCGAACGAGAUCCCUUCCUCCCGGGGUGGGUGCUGCCCCCCCCAAGCACCUCAGGCAGCAGAGCCCAGCGUGCAGCCCGCACGGGGCCCUGACCAAGUAGAAGAAAUGACUGCGCUUCAGCCCAGAGUCCAGGGCGCUCCGUGACCCGAGGACAGAAUGCUCAGGCUGGGAGCUGGGCGGGGCUCGGGGGCUGCAAGCUGCACCCAGCACCCGGCUUGGCCCCGCGUCCCACCUUCACCCCAGACCCAGUGGCUCGGGGAUGCGGUGAGGCCGGCUGCCUCCUCCCUCCUGUCCUCACUUGGGAACUGAAGACUGACUUUCAGAGCAGACGCUCACAGCUCUGCCUCCGUCCGCUUUGCUCUCCUCUGCCUCUGUCAAGGCUGCCCGGAAGAGCUGGCCUCACAUCAGAUGAGGCUCUUUUUGGAUUAAUUUAGCCCAGACUGGCAAGGGGGGCGGGUGGGGCUUGUUAGAGCUUAAUGGGGAGCUUAUUAGCUGGGCGGUUCGGGAAUGGGUACUUGCCCGGUCUGCGCAGGCCGGGCUGCUUCCAUCCAGCUGAGAGAAAGCUUGGGGACACUCCCGUGUCUGUGAGAUGGAGGCCCCGCGGCCCCGCCAAGAAGGAGGUAGAAGGGGAGCCGGGCGUCCGCUGGUCGCGGUAAGAGGCCUGGCUGCUGGCUCUGGCGUUGGCGUUGACCGCUGGCUGAUCCCAGUAAUCACGCCGCCCCUCUCCAGGCCUCAGUUUCCCCACCUGCACUCUGACUGUAGGACGCGAUGAGGACAGCACGAGAUGUAACGAUCCGGGGCUUCCCAGGUGCAGCCCCAAGUGACAGCGUGCGCUCGGUCGUGUCCGACCCUCCGCGACCCCACGGACCGCAGCCCGCCAGGCUCCUCUGCACCGCAUUCUCCAGGCAGGAAGGAGUACUGGGGUGGGUUGCUGUUUCCUCCUCCAGGGGAUCUCCCCAACCCGGGUAUCGAACUCGCGUCUCUUACGUCUCCUGCAUUGGCAGGCAGGCUCUUCCCCACUAGCACUGCCUGGGCAGCCUCCCAGGUAACAGCAGCCACCGGCAGAAUCAAUCCUCCCAGCAGCCCAGGAGGGGCACUUGGUCUGCUGGUCACAGGAGCUGCUGGGAGCACCCAUGCGCCAUCUUCGUGGGAUGGCGUGUGCGGGAACCUAGGAGCAGAGCAGCUGGGUCUUUAGGGCAGGCGUGCAUUGAACUCCUUAGGAAACUGCCAGGCUUCCCACAGCGCCGCCCACCCCGCGUCCGCUGCUCAGCGCCCUCGCCCACGCCUGUCGUGGCCAGCCUGUUCCACGUUAGCCUUUCAGGGGGCAUGAGGUGGCAUCGCCCUUCGGUCCUCAUUUGCGUUUUCCUAACCACCAAAAUCAC